GAUUGGGUGACAGUAACGUGGGAGGCUGCGCAGUAUUCGUCGAUGCUGUCGGAGAUUAUCUUGUUUUUGUCGCCAUAUCUGUCAGACUGAAAACGACUCGGUAGAAGAUGAGCUCGCCUGUGUAGUUCAAUGUGAGACAUAAUGUUAAAGCUCUUGUCCUGUCCAUAUUCGAGCGGUUAUAACAGUAAUGCAGGUUGGUGGUAGAGCUCUGUCACUCACUGACACUGAAACUACAAGCGACAACAUGGAUGAACAGUAUUUAAGAUUCAACUAAUAUUUCACGCAAACGACAAAUGUGAUGGGUACCGAUGCUAGCAAAAACAGCAAGCAGUGUACAGGGUCGGAGGAGCAGUCACAAAUAUCCAGAUGGCGGGGAUUUCUCUCUGCUGUGGGGAUUUCUCUCCCAGCUGGUCUCUGCCGAAUCAACCCAUUACGAAUCGGAUCACAUAGAAUGAUUUGUGACAAGGAGCCAUCCAUUCCUGAGCACCUGGUCUCUUCAUUACCGGGGCCUGAGAAACUCCGUAUGGAAUGGAGUCUGCCAAGUUUUAUCAACAUGUUUCUGCCCGAAUUCCCCCAUCGCAAUGUCCCAGGACAUGAACAUUUUCAGGUCCUGGGUUACAUAGCAAAAGGAUCUUUUGGUCCCAUUUUAAAGGUUAAGGAUAAGUCGAAGCAUAAGAUCUAUGCAGUUAAGGUAAAACUUGUAUACACCCACACUCAUUUACAAUUCUUUGUAAUUUCAUAUUUUUACACAUUUA
rnacentral:lncRNA from 1 species